rnacentral:rRNA from 1 species
AAAGCACUUUCAGCGAGGAAGAACGCCUAGCGGUUAAUACCCGCUAGGAAAGACAUCACUCGCAGAAGAAGCACCGGCUAACUCCGUGCCAGCAGCCGCGGUAAUACGGAGGGUGCAAGCGUUAAUCGGAAUUACUGGGCGUAAAGCGCGCGUAGGUGGCUUGAUAAGCCGGUUGUGAAAGCCCCGGGCUCAACCUGGGAACGGCAUCCGGAACUGUCAAGCUAGAGUGCAGGAGAGGAAGGUAGAAUUCCCGGUGUAGCGGUGAAAUGCGUAGAGAUCGGGAGGAAUACCAGUGGCGAAGGCGGCCUUCUGGACUGACACUGACACUGAGGUGCGAAAGCGUGGGUAGCAAACAGGAUUAGAUACCCUGGUAGUCCACGCCGUAAACGAUGUCGACCAGCCGUUGGGUGCCUAGCGCACUUUGUGGCGAAGUUAACGCGAUAAGUCGACCGCCUGGGGAGUACGGCCGCAAGGUUAAAACUCAAAUGAAUUGACGGGGGCCCGCACAAGCGGUGGAGCAUGUGGUUUAAUUCGAUGCAACGCGAAGAACCUUACCUACUCUUGACAUCCUGCGAAUUUGGUAGAGAUACCUUAGUGCCUUCGGGAACGCAGAGACAGGUGCUGCAUGGCUGUCGUCAGCUCGUGUUGUGAAAUGUUGGGUUAAGUCCCGUAACGAGCGCAACCCUUGUCCUUAUUUGCCAGCGCGUAAUGGCGGGAACUCUAAGGAGACUGCCGGUGACAAACCGGAGGAAGGUGGGG